GAGUUCUGACUUUACCUUCUGGCCUCCGAGGGCACCAGGAACGCACAUGGUACACAAGCAUAACGUGCAAGCACAACAUUCAAAAAACGCAUCUCAGGUUAAGACUCAUCUCAGGGGAAGCCAGAGUUCUACGCUUGGUUCUCUAAAACAACAGCCAAACACAGAGUACCCUCAUCCUGUGACUCACAACCACCCGUAACUCCAGGUCCAAGGGAUCUGACACCUUCUAGCCUCCAACAGCCGGCACAAACACACACACACACACAAAAUAGGGCAGGAAUGGUGACUGACUCCUUUAAUCUCAGCUCUCAGGAGGUAGAGAUGCAGACUGAUUUCUGAGUUUGAGGCCAGCCUGGUCUACAUUGUGAGUUCCAAGCUAACUAGAGCUGCACAAUGAGACCCUAGCUUUAAAAAAACAACAAGAACAAAAAAGGAUGAAUCAGGAGGACACUGUCAGUUCCACUCAAAACCUCAGGAGGCUGUGUUCAGAAUAUGACAGCAAAGUACAGGGCAACAUGGCAACCUGUAAAACAGUUCUUGCAGUGUGAACAUCCCUAACCCAGAAAUCUAGAUUCGAUGAUAUCACAAAAAUGUCUGAUUUGCGAUUUAGGGUGUUCAGAAAUGUUCAGCCGGUAAAGUCUACACAGCCCAAACAAAGUAUGAAAACUCUGAUAGGAAACGUGUGCUCUGAGGCAUUUGAGAAAUAGGAUAUUGGCCAGUGCAGCUAAAAUAGUUUAAACAAUGUGGUUCAAAAAUAGAGAGAAAAGCAACUAGAACUGAUUGCUGAAUCCCCAAGUACGUUGGGGAAUUUGAAAUAAUAUUCUUAUCCCAAAUAUUUUACUUUGUAAUGUUAUGACUCGGGACAUUGUGUCCAGAACACAUGGAAAAGCUAACACUGACAGAAAUAAUACAUUUUUUUCAAAAGUGAUAAAGGUUAAAAUGCAUUUGCAAUGAUUGAUUGGAGCUAAAAACAUCUUGCUAACAAGUAAACAGGGAAACUUUGUUCACAACUUAGGCCUUAUAAGGUGAUAAAAUAACAAUUAAGAAACCUGGGUGGAGAGAAAAUUGCCUCCAAAAGAAAAGAUGUUCAAACCGUAACUUUUUAUAGCCCCAAGUUGAGGGAAAAAAACAAGUACCUACUGUAAGUUUUGUAAUGAAAUCAGUCAUCUGAGAGAAAAAUUAAUAUGGUUUACGAGAAUAACACUAUCAAUCCACAGAAUGCUCUCAUAUGCCAAUCCAUAUUUUACAGGGAGCAUUUCUUUCAACUGCCCUAAUAACCAUUAGACAGGUGCUGUUACUAUCCAAAUUUACAAAUGAGGAGAAGGAGACAGAGCAGCAGCAAACGCCUGGCUUUAGCUCCUAAAGCUCUUCAGCAGUGGCAGUGACAUGUGAACACUGGCUGCCUAGCCUAAUGCCUAAACACUUGGAACCAAGGAGCUUACACUGAAAAAGGCCUAACAAAUAGCUCCCUAUUGACCCAGUUCUUACUACAAUGCCCAUACUGCUGCUCUUGCAGAGGACCCAGGCUUGGUUCCCAUCACCCACAUAGCACCCACAACUACCUGUAACUCCACUUCAGGAGCUCAGACACCCUUUCUAACCUCUAAGAGCAUCCCACACAUGAUAUACAUACACAGGUUCAGGCAAAGUGCUCUACACAUUUUUUUCAUGUUUAUCUUCAAUAACUCAGAACAAAACACCCAUUGGGAUAAAAGACCUGAAUCAAAAUACCCUUUUACAGUAGAAGAACCAUUCCUUUAUAUCAUCAUUCCAAACACUGAGAACCCAGCUGCACCCCAGCAGUAGCCAGGUCAGCCUUGGAGAGCUCAAGUACAUGUUAUUGAGCCUAUGCAUAAACUCAAUCUCUGCCACCAUGGCCACUUUGUUCAUGUGCCCAUCGGGCAAUAACAGAGAUAUGGAAAAUAUAAAUACACACACACCACUCGUAUUACAAGGGCUUUUAGGCUAUGCUCCAGCUAGUCAAACAAUGGCUGUCAACCAAAGGAAAGCCCGAUAAUCCAAUAGUUGUUCAGUUCAUGAGGCUAGAUGUCUCACUCUUCAGUAUAUGCCAACUAGGCUCUAAUGCUAGUGAAGGACUUGCCAGUGGGAGAGCCAGGGCAAGCAGGCAAGAGAGAGGAAGCUUCCUCCUCCCUUGUCUUUUAUAUAGGUUGUCAGCAGAAGGUAUGGCCCAGAUUAAAGGUGGAUCUGCCCACCUCAGAAGAUCUGGAUUAGAAGAGGGUCUUCACACUUCAAAUGAAGC
rnacentral:lncRNA from 1 species